AGAGAGCUCAGCACAGCUCCAGUCUUCUCCUCACAGAGAACUAACAGAAGACACACAGCCAUGGCUCAUAAUAACUGGCUCUGUGAAAAGCUGAGAAAGCCAACAAAAGAGAAGAUUGGUGGCAAAUGUGCACCAAGACAACACUGAGAAAUCUCUACUUGGCCUGAUGCAUCCAGGAGAAAGCCAACAUCCUGGAGAUAUUCAUUUCCUGAGACAACAGCAGUCUCACCUGGACUCUCCCUGCUCUACUGCAGCUAAUGAAGGCUACACCAGGUGUGUGGAGGAGGCCGUCAACUUCCUGUCUCAGUGUCAAAUGCAGACCGAGUCCCAGAGAAGGCUGCUGAAACACCUCCUCAGCAUGCAGCCUUCCUUGGAGAAAAGCAAAAGUGUCCUGCCUCAGCUCAGCUCUCCAGCCUGUCAGAUCAGCAGCAAAGAGGAGACUCCAGCAUGCAGUGCACUCUGGAGGCCCUGGGAGAGUCAUGUGGAAACUUUUCAUAAUAGGAUACAGAGUUGAAGAUGUCAGUUUAAGACUGACUAAGUUUUCCUAAGUUUAUAAGAUAUUAUUCAUUUUUUUGCAAUUAUGAUGAAUUACUUUAAUUGUGUAAACGCAUGUGUAUGUAUUUCAAUUUGGGAACUUUCUAAAAAAAUAUUAAUAAUUUUUAUUAUGGAUAAUACUUUACUGCAUAUACCAUGUAUGUUCCAGACUUGGAUAUAUAAUGAAAGCCCAUAUUGGGUACAUGCUUGCUGCAUUUGCAGGAUGUGUGGAUUCUGCUUUCAAUCAAAGAGAGCUUUUACUAUUUUUUAAAUAUUUCUUAUUGUGAAUGAAAAUGACUCUUUACAAUAUUAUGUAAAGCCUGCUUAUCUUUAUUAUUUUUCACAAUGAAACUUGAAUGCAAAAUAUUUAUGAAUUUUAUGCAACUCGUCCUCUUCAAAUGGGGUGAGAUUACCAAUGUAACUAUUUAGUUUAUUGAAAUUAUUUGGAUUCUAUGUAGUCUUGAAAUGUGUGUUUGCAAAGUGCAUGUUUGUGCAUAAAUUAGACAUAAUUAAUUUUCCAUUUGAAAUUAUGACAAGUUUCCUUAAUUGUACAAAAGCAUGUGUGAAUAUUUUCAUUUGGGAUCUUAUAUAAAAUAUACAAAAUUUGUAUUACUGAUAAUCGAUGACUGCAUAUAUCAUGUAUUUCAAAACUUGGAUGUAUAAUGAAACCCAUAUUGGGUAUAUGUUUGCAUUUUGCAAAGUGCAUGUUUCUCCAGAAAGUUAUUUAGUUGACAUUUUCUGUGAAAGCUAUAUAGGACUCUAGCCUCUGUUUAUCUGUGAGUGUGCAGGAACAUUUCCAGAAAUGUUCUAAAAAUAAAUCGUUUCAGUGUGCACUCUA